rnacentral:rRNA from 1 species
CUUUGAACGCCUUAGAGAUAAGGUUUCUCCUUCGGGAGCAAAGAGACAGGUGGUGCAUGGCUGUCGUCAGCUCGUGUCGUGAGAUGUUGGGUUAAGUCCCGCAACGAGCGCAACCCUUAUUGUUAGUUGCCAUCAUUUAGUUGGGCACUCUAGCGAGACUGCCGGUGACAAACCGGAGGAAGGUGGGGAUGACGUCAAGUCAUCAUGCCCCUUAUGACCUGGGCUACACACGUGCUACAAUGGGAAGUACAACGAGACGCGAAGACGCGAGGCUAAGCUAAUCUCAUAAAGCUUCUCUCAGUUCGGAUUGUAGGCUGCAACUCGCCUACAUGAAGCCGGAAUCGCUAGUAAUCGCGGAUCAGCACGCCGCGGUGAAUACGUUCCCGGGCCUUGUACACACCGCCCGUCACACCACGAGAGUUUGUAACACCCGAAGUCGGUGAGGUAACCUUAGGGAGCCAGCCGCCUAAGGUGGGACAGAUGAU